GAAAGGAUUGGCCGAUACGGUGGAUUAAAAGGUUAGAUUGGGAAUCGGCCAAUUGGCGCUACAGUGUUUUGGCAGACGGAGUUGGUGGAGAUCGGCCGAUUGGAAGGCUAGAGCGAUUGGGCCAGUAUGGGCCUAAAGUGGGUCAGAGAAAGAAGAUAGAAAAAGAUUGGCCCUGUGAGUAUAAUAGCCAACUCCGAUACGAGUUGUGUUUGUAAAUAUUCAUUUUCGUUUAAAAUUAGAGAUAGAUCCUAGUCGGUUAGGAAAUCAGUUGUAACGGGCUAUAAAUAGCCAUCUUUGGAGAUUUGUAAAGG
rnacentral:lncRNA from 1 species